GCAUGAGGCUAAGGCAGGAGGAUGGCCAUGAGUUUAAAGCCGGCCUGGCCUACAAAGCAAGAUAUUAUCCAAAUUCUUUAAAAAAAAAAAAAAAAAAGGAGAGAGAGAGAGAUUGUUGAAAGAUUCACAGCCAGAAAACGCCCCACCGAGGUCACAAGAGGAGCCUGUGGCUUCAAGAACCAUCAAGGUGGAACCUCUACCCUCAAGUGUCCUUUUGGUCCCAGGAGGCUUCCUUUUCUCCAGUUGGCUGUCACAGACGCCAGGGCACCUACGCAGAGACCAAGGACAACUUGCAGGAGUCGAUUCUCUCCUCCCACCACGUGGGUUCCAGAAGUUGUCGGGUCCGGCAAUAAACACGUUUACCACCGAGACAUCUCUCCAGCCCCCAGUUUUACUUUACAAAACAUGCACACACACACUUACAUAUACACACAAACACUAAAUAAAGAGCAAGUAUGACCUUGG
rnacentral:lncRNA from 1 species